GUCAGGAUGAACGCUGGCGGCGUGCUUAACACAUGCAAGUCGAACGAUGACCCGGUGCUUGCAUCGGUGAUUAGUGGCGAACGGGUGAGUAACACGUGAGUAACCUGCCCUUAACUCUGGGAUAAGCCUGGGAAACUGGGUCUAAUACCGGAUAUGACUCCUCAUCGCAUGGUGGGGGGUGGAAAGCUUUUUUGUGGUUUUGGAAUGGACUCGCGGCCUAUCAGCUUGUUGGUGAGGGUAAUGGCUUACCAAGGCGACGAACGGGUAGCCGGCCUGAGAGGGUGACCGGUCACACUGGGACUGAGACACGGCCCAGACUCCUACGGGAGGCAGCAGUGGGGAAUAUUGCACAAUGGGCGGAAGCCUGAUGCAGCGACGCCGCGUGAGGGAUGACGGCCUUCGGGUUGUAAACCUCUUUCAGUAGGGAAGAAGCGUAAGUGACGGUACCUGCAGAAGAAGCGCCGGCUAACUACGUGCCAGCAGCCGCGGUAAUACGUAGGGCGCAAGCGUUAUCCGGAAUUAUUGGGCGUAAAGAGCUCGUAGGCGGUUUGUCGCGUCUGCCGUGAAAGUCCGGGGCUCAACUCCGGAUCUGCGGUGGGUACGGGCAGACUUAGAGUGAUGUAGGGGGAGACUGGAAAUUCCUGGUGUAGCGGUGAAAUGCGCAGAUAUCAGGAGGAAACACCGAUGGCGAAGGCAGGUCUCUGGGCAUUAACUGACGCUGAGGAGCGAAAGCAUGGGGAGCGAACAGGAUUAGAUACCCUGGUAGUCCAUGCCGUAAACGUUGGGCACUAGGUGUGGGGGACAUUCCACGUUUUCCGGCGCCGUAGCAAUAACGCACCCGCGGUAAAGGGUGGAGGAAUACGAAGCCUGACGAAGGCUAAAACUC
rnacentral:rRNA from 1 species